CUAAGCGUACACGGUGGAUGCCCUGGCAGUCAGAGGCGAUGAAGGACGUGCUAAUCUGCGAAAAGCGCCGGCGAGGUGAUAUGAACCCUUGACCCGGCGAUGUCCGAAUGGGGAAACCCAGUGUGUUCCGACACACUAUCGUUAACUGAAUACAUAGGUUAACGAGGCGAACCGGGGGAACUGAAACAUCUAAGUACCCCGAGGAAAAGAAAUCAACCGAGAUUCCCCCAGUAGCGGCGAGCGAACGGGGAGCAGAUCGUACCCCAAACCGACACAGGUGGUCAGGUAGAGAAUACCAAGGCGCUUGAGAGAACUCGGGUGAAGGAACUAGGCAAAAUGGUGCCGUAACUUCGGGAGAAGGCACGCUGAUAUGUAGGUGAAGCCCCUGCGGGCGGAGCUGAAAUCAGUCGAAGAUACCAGCUGGCUGCAACUGUUUAUUAAAAACACAGCACUGUGCAAACACGAAAGUGGACGUAUACGGUGUGACGCCUGCCCGGUGCCGGAAGGUUAAUUGAUGGG
rnacentral:rRNA from 1 species